rnacentral:rRNA from 1 species
UACGAAGGGGGCUAGCGUUGUUCGGAAUCACUGGGCGUAAAGGGCGCGUAGGCGGCCGAUCAAGUCAGGCGUGAAAGCCCCGGGCUCAACCUGGGAACCGCGCUUGAGACUGGCACGCUCGAGUUCGGGAGAGGAUGGUGGAAUUCCCAGUGUAGAGGUGAAAUUCGUAGAUAUUGGGAAGAACACCGAUGGCGAAGGCAGCCAUCUGGACCGACACUGACGCUGAGGCGCGAAAGCGUGGGGAGCAAACAGG